GGCAUGGUGGCUUAAUGGUUAGCAUAUUUGCCUUGUACCUCCAAAGGUUGGGGGUUCAAAUCCUGCCUCUGCGU